rnacentral:rRNA from 1 species
CCUACGGGUGGCAGCAGUGAGGAAUAUUGGUCAAUGGACGAGAGUCUGAACCAGCCAAGUAGCGUGAAGGAUGACUGCCCUAUGGGUUGUAAACUUCUUUUAUAUGGGAAUAAAAUGUUCCACGUGUGGGAUUUUGUAUGUACCAUAUGAAUAAGGAUCAGCUAACUCCGUGCCAGCAGCCGCGGUAAUACGGAGGAUCCGAGCGUUAUCCGGAUUUAUUGGGUUUAAAGGGAGCGUAGGUGGAUUGUUAAGUCAGUUGUGAAAGUUUGCGGCUCAACCGUAAAAUUGCAGUUGAAACUGGCAGUCUUGAGUACAGUAGAGGUGGGCGGAAUGCGUGGUGUAGCGGUGAAAUGCUUAGAUAUCACGAAGAACUCCGAUUGCGAAGGCAGUUCACUGGACUGCAACUGACACUGAGGCUCGAAAGUGUGGGUAUCAAACAGGAUUAGAUACCCCAGUAGUC